rnacentral:tRNA from 1 species
GGAAGUAUAGCUCAGUGGUAGAACACCUGCCUAGCAAGCAUAAAUGGGCCUGAGUUCAAUCCACAGCACUGCCA